rnacentral:rRNA from 1 species
CAGUCGCCGCGGUAAUACGUAGGGUCCGAGCGUUGUCCGGAAUUAUUGGGCGUAAAGAGCUCGUAUGCGGUCUGUCGCGUCUGCCGUGAAAUCCUCAGGCUCAACCUGAGGCGUGCGGUGGGUACGGGCAGGCUAGAGUGCGGUAGGGGAGAAUGGAACUCCUGGUGUAGCGGUGGAAUGCGCAGAUAUCAGGAAGAACACCGAUGGCGAAGGCAGUUCUCUGGGCCGUAACUGACGCUGAGGAGCGAAAGCGUGGGGAGCGAACAGGAUUAGAUACCCCAGUAGUCCCUGUCUCUUAUAC